rnacentral:lncRNA from 1 species
UUUUAAAAUACUUGUAACUUUUUUUUUUCCCUCCUGUAUACGCGGUCUUAUCUAUUUCCUAUGCUUUUUUGGGAAAUCAAGUUAGCAGUAAGGCCAAGUUGAAAUAUAAUUCUUUUGUAAGUUUUGGAGUUAAUUUGUGGAUUCAGCUUGAAUUAUUUGAGAGAAGUUAUUAUCAUUUGCAUUGAAAUGUUGUUUAUCUCUUUAUUUCUUGAGAAUAUCUAUUCAAAUUAUUGCUUUUCAUUUGCUAGGAUUACACCAUAGACAUUCUAUGUAUUCAACCAUUUUAUCACUUUUGAGCGAUCAAGCAGAAAUCAAUAGACUGAUGGUUCUCUUUCUGAAUGCACGUCUCCUUUUGUUAACCUAAGACGGUGAAGUCAUUUUGAUUUUUACCUCCCCCGUUCCAUCUUUUAGGAGUUAAACAUGUACUCAUCUCUGUUACAAUACAUUCAGGUAUCUUGAUGUUGCUAGCCAGAGGGUUUCCAACCUUACAUCUUCAAUGGUGUGGCUUUGACGCUUUGUUCUUUUGGUGGUUGGUAUAUGGUCUUUUAUACUUAAUUAAACUUCAGAAUUUUGCGUUUUACUAUUAAAUGUUGAAGUGUUCUGCUCGAUCAUAGAAUUUGCACAUAUUGCUAGAGAAUGAAAACUCAACUUAUUGAUCAGUUGACAGUCUGGAUGAGUUUCUAAAAUUUGAGAUUUUUAUGCACUGUUCCAAAAUCUAUCUGCUGUUCUUUUUUCGUAUAUCUGUGGUUUUUUGAAAUAUUAAAGUUUUUAUAAAUAAAAGCUGUUUGCCUCUUUAGUUCCUUAAGAAAAAAAGGUGCUGGGAGUAGCCGGGGAAUUUAAGGAUUUGACUAGGAAAAUAGCUUGUAUAUAACGUUUUUGUCAGUAUAAAAUUAUUUCAAACGGCCUUACAAGUGACUUACAACAUUUGAUCAUUAGCCUGCUCUUUUAGACAUGAUUACAGCAUUUAUCACUGAUUAUCUUAGUUCUCAUUGACGGAUGAUGUUAUAUCUAAAUGAUUGUGAUUACAGAAGAAAGCAUUGCAAAGAAAUUGUGGCAUGCAUGGUCAAGAAUCAUUUAAUUGAAAUUCAGUCUUGAGGAUGCAUCAGUCGAUUUCUUAAUAAAGUAUGCCUCCGUUCCUCUCUUAAUGUCUCUUUUCUUUCUUUUUUUUUCUUUUCCCCUCAAGUCAGUGCCAUUAAGGAAUCAAUUUCUUGAUUCAUUUAUUGUAUGUAUUCAUUGGUGGUGUUCUGCACAUGCUGUUAAGGAAUUUUUUUUUUUUGCCCCAGCAUGCAAUUAAAUUUCCAUUUUGUGCUUUUAGCCUACUUGUCUUUUACUUUAGUAGGUUUAUCUAUGCUCUGUUUAGAAGUUUCUUGUUGAAUGCCUUCUACUAUGCAUAUGAAAAAUGAAUAGACAGACUAUCGUGUAUAAUAUAUA